rnacentral:misc_RNA from 1 species
UUUCCGUUGGUGAACCGGCGGAGGGAUCAUUACCGAGUUCACAACUCCCAAACCCCUGUGAACAUACCAUUUGUUGCCUCGGCGGUGCCUGCUUCGGCAGCCCGCCAGAGGACCCAAACCCUUGAUUUUAUACAGUAUCUUCUGAGUAAAUGAUUAAAUAAAUCAAAACUUUCAACAACGGAUCUCUUGGUUCUG